rnacentral:rRNA from 1 species
UGAGGAAUAUUGGUCAAUGGGCGAGAGCCUGAACCAGCCAAGUCGCGUGCAGGAUGACGGCCCUAUGGGUUGUAAACUGCUUUUAUAUGGGAAUAAAGUGAGGGACGUGUCCCUUAUUGCAUGUACCAUACGAAUAAGGACCGGCUAAUUCCUUGCCAGCAGCCGCGGUAAUACGGAAGGUCCAGGCGUUAUCCGGAUUUAUUGGGUUUAAAGGGAGCGUAGGCUGUUUGUUAAGCGUGUUGUGAAAUGUAAGAGCUCAACUUUUAGAUUGCAGCGCGAACUGGCAGACUUGAGUGCGCACAACGUAGGCGGAAUUCAUGGUGUAGCGGUGAAAUGCUUAGAUAUCAUGAAGAACUCCGAUUGCGAAGGCAGCUCACGGGGGUGUCACUGACGCUUAAGCUCGAAGGUGCGGGUAUCAAACAGG